rnacentral:rRNA from 3 species
UGGGGAAUAUUGCACAAUGGGGGAAACCCUGAUGCAGCGACGCCGCGUGAACGAAGAAGGUAUUCGUAUCGUAAAGUUCUGUCCUAUGGGAAGAUAAUGACAGUACCAUAGAAGAAAGCUCCGGCUAAAUACGUGCCAGCAGCCGCGGUAAUACGUAUGGAGCGAGCGUUGUCCGGAAUUAUUGGGCGUAAAGGGUACGCAGGCGGUUUAAUAAGUCGAAUGUUAAAGAUCGGGGCUCAACCCCGUAAAGCAUUGGAAACUGAUAAACUUGAGUAGUGGAGAGGAAAGUGGAAUUCCUAGUGUAGUGGUGAAAUACGUAGAUAUUAGGAGGAAUACCAGUAGCGAAGGCGACUUUCUGGACACAAACUGACGCUGAGGUACGAAAGCGUGGGGAGCAAACAGGA